rnacentral:rRNA from 1 species
ACGGGGGGGGCAAGCGUUGUUCGGAAUUACUGGGCGUAAAGGGCUCGUAGGUGGCCACCUAAGUCCGACGUGAAAUCCCUCGGCUCAACCGGGGAACUGCGUCGGAUACUGGGUGGCUUGAAUCCGGGAGAGGGACGUGGAAUUCCAGGUGUAGCGGUGAAAUGCGUAGAUAUCUGGAGGAACACCGGUGGCGAAGGCGGCGUCCUGGACCGGUAUUGACACUGAGGAGCGAAAGCCAGGGGAGCAAACGGGAUUAGAUACCCCGGUAGUCCUGGCCCUAAACGAUGAGUGCUUGGUGUGGCGGGUAUCGAUCCCCGCUGUGCCGGAGCUAACGCGUUAAGCACUCCGCCUGGGGAGUACGGUCGCAAGGCUG